UACGGAGGGGGCAAGCGUUACUCGGAAUUAUUGGGCGUAAAGGGCUCGUAGGCGGUCUGUCGCGUCGAAAGUGAAAACUCAGGGCUUAACCCUGAGCCUGCUUCCGAUACGGGCAGACUAGAGGUAUGCAGGGGAGAACGGAAUUCCUGGUGUAGCGGUGAAAUGCGCAGAUAUCAGGAGGAACACCGGUGGUGAAGGCGGUUCUCUGGGCAUUACCUGACGCUGAGGAGCGAAAGUGUGGGGAGCGAACAGG
rnacentral:rRNA from 1 species